AGCGAACGCUGGCGGCAGGCUUAACACAUGCAAGUCGAGCGGGCAUCUUCGGAUGUCAGCGGCAGACGGGUGCGUAACACGUGGGAACGUACCCUUCGGUUCGGAACAACUCUGGGAAACUGGAGCUAAUACCGGAUACGCCCUUAUGGGGAAAGGUUUACUGCCGAAGGAUCGGCCCGCGUCUGAUUAGCUAGUUGGUGGGGUAACGGCCUACCAAGGCGACGAUCAGUAGCUGGUCUGAGAGGAUGAUCAGCCACACUGGGACUGAGGCACGGCCCAGACUCCUACGGGAGGCAGCAGUGGGGAAUAUUGGACAAUGGGCGCAAGCCUGAUCCAGCCAUGCCGCGUGAGUGAUGAAGGCCUUAGGGUUGUAAAGCUCUUUUGUCCGGGACGAUAAUGACGGUACCGGAAGAAUAAGCCCCGGCUAACUUCGUG
rnacentral:rRNA from 1 species